AUUGAACGCUGGCGGCAGGCCUAACACAUGCAAGUCGAGCGAGCGGCGGACGGGUGAGUAAUGUAUGGGGAUCUGCCCGAUAGAGGGGGAUAACUACUGGAAACGGUGGCUAAUACCGCAUACUAUCAGAUGAACCCAUAUGGGAGUAGCUGGUCGGUAAGGUACCGGCUUACCAAGGCGACGAUCCCUAGCUGGUCUGAGAGGAUGCACAGCCACACUGGGACUGAGACACGGCCCAGACUCCUACGGGAGGCAGCAGUGGGGAAGAUUGCGCCAUGGGGGCAACCCUGACGCAGCCAUGCCGCGUGAAUGAAGAAGGCCUUAGGGUUGUAAAGUACUUUCAGCGGGGAGGCGUUACCCGCAGAAGAAGCACCGGCUAACUCCGUGCCAGCCGCCGCGGUAAUUC
rnacentral:rRNA from 1 species